rnacentral:rRNA from 1 species
CCUGAUUUAAGCGGCGGACGGGUGAGUAAUGCCUAGGAAUCUGCCUGGUAGUGGGGGAUAACGUUCCGAAAGGAACGCUAAUACCGCAUACGUCCUACGGGAGAAAGCAGGGGACCUUCGGGCCUUGCGCUAUCAGAUGAGCCUAGGUCGGAUUAGCUAGUUGGUGAGGUAAUGGCUCACCAAGGCGACGAUCCGUAACUGGUCUGAGAGGAUGAUCAGUCACACUGGAACUGAGACACGGUCCAGACUCCUACGGGAGGCAGCAGUGGGGAAUAUUGGACAAUGGGCGAAAGCCUGAUCCAGCCAUGCCGCGUGUGUGAAGAAGGUCUUCGGAUUGUAAAGCACUUUAAGUUGGGAGGAAGGGCAUUAACUUAAUACGUUAGUGUUUUGACGUUACCGACAG